AUCUAGCUGAUGAGUACCAAAUAGGACGAAAUGCGCGUCAAAUUGGAU
rnacentral:hammerhead_ribozyme from 1 species